rnacentral:tRNA from 1 species
ACCCAAAUAGCUUAGUUGGAAGAGCGUUAGACUAUAGAUUGAAAGGUCCCUGGUUCGAUACCGGGAUUCGCCA